AUUGAACGCUGGCGGCAGGCCUACCACAUGCAAGUCGAACGAGUGGCGGACGGGUGAGUAAUGAAUGGGAAUCUCGCUUAUGGAGGGGGAUAACUACGGGAAACUGUAGCUAAUACCGCGUACCAUAGGAUGAGCCCAAUGGGGAUUAGGUAGUUGGUGAGGUAACGGCUCACCAAGCCGACGAUCUAUAGCUUGUCUGAGAGGAUGAACAGCAAAACUGGGACUGAGACAAGGCCCAGACUCCUACGGGAGGAAGCAGUGGGGAAUAUUGCGCAAUGGGGGCAACCUGAAGCAGCCAUGCCGCGUGAAUGAAGAAGGCCGUCGGGUUGUAAAGUUCUUUCAGUAGCGAGGCGUUAACUACAGAAGAAGCACCGGCUAACUCCGUGCCAGCAGCCGCGGUAAUAC
rnacentral:rRNA from 1 species